UAGGGGAUCUGGGAGGAUGACCCCCCACACUGGUACUGAGACACGGACCAGACUCCUACGGGAGGCAGCAGUAAGGAAUAUUGGUCAAUGGAGGCAACUCUGAACCAGCCAUGCCGCGUGCAGGAAGACAGCCCUCUGGGUCGUAAACUGCUUUUAUUCGGGAAUAAACCUAUUUACGUGUAGAUAGCUGAAUGUACCGAAGGAAUAAGGAUCGGCUAACUCCGUGCCAGCAGCCGCGGUAAUACGGAGGAUCCAAGCGUUAUCCGGAUUUAUUGGGUUUAAAGGGUGCGUAGGCGGCUUAUUAAGUCAGGGGUGAAAGACGGUGGCUCAACCAUCGCAGUGCCUUUGAUACUGAUGAGCUUGAAUGAACUAGAGGUAGGCGGAAUGUGACAAGUAGCGGUGAAAUGCAUAGAUAUGUCACAGAACACCGAUUGCGAAGGCAGCUUACUAUGGUUUUAUUGACGCUGAGGCACGAAAGCGUGGGGAUCAAACAGGAUUAGAUACCCUGGUAGUCCACGCCCUAAACGAUGAAUACUCGCUGUUAGCGAUAUACAGUUAGCGGCUAAGCGAAAGCGUUAAGUAUUCCACCUGGGGAGUACGCCCGCAAGGGUGAAACUCAAAGGAAUUGACGGGGGCCCGCACAAGCGGAGGAGCAUGUGGUUUAAUUCGAUGAUACGCGAGGAACCUUACCCGGGCUUGAAAGUUAGUGAAUGAUCUAGAGAUAGAUCAGUGAGCAAUCACACGAAACUAGGUGCUGCAUGGCUGUCGUCAGCUCGUGCCGUGAGGUGUUGGGUUAAGUCCCGCAACGAGCGCAACCCCUAUGUUUAGUUGCCAGCACGUUAAGGUGGGGACUCUAAACAGACUGCCUGUGCAAACAGAGAGGAAGGAGGGGACGACGUCAAGUCAUCAUGGCCCUUACGUCCGGGGCUACACACGUGCUACAAUGGAUGGUACAGAGGGCAGCAAGCUGGCAACAGCAAGCAAAUCUCAAAAAGCCAUUCACAGUUCGGAUAGAGGUCUGCAACUCGACCUCUUGAAGUUGGAUUCGCUAGUAAUCGCGUAUCAGCAAUGACGCGGUGAAUACGUUCCCGGGCCUUGUACACACCGCCCGUCAAGCCAUGGAAGUUGGGGGUACCUAAAGUAUGUAACCGCAAGGAGCGUCCUAGGGUAAAACCGAUAACUUGGGCUAAGUCGUAACAAGGUA
rnacentral:rRNA from 1 species